CUACGGGCGGCAGCAGGCGAGAAAACUUUGCAAUGUGCGAAAGCACGACAAGGUUAAUCCGAGUGGUUUGUGCUAAACGAACCUUUUGUUAGUCCUAGAAACACUGACGAAUAAGGGGUGGGCAAGUUCUGGUGUCAGCCGCCGCGGUAAAACCAGCACCUCAAGUGGUCAGGAUGAUUAUUGGGCCUAAAGCAUCCGUAGCCGGCUCUGUAAGUUUUCGGUUAAAUCUGUGCGCUUAACGUACAGGCUGCCGGGAAUACUGCAGAGCUAGGGAGUGGGAGAGGUAGACGGUACUCGGUAGGAAGGGGUAAAAUCCUUUGAUCUAUUGAUGACCACCUGUGGCGAAGGCGGUCUACCAGAACACGUCCGACGGUGAGGGAUGAAAGCUGGGGGAGCAAACCGGAUUAGAUACCCUCGUAGUC
rnacentral:rRNA from 1 species